rnacentral:rRNA from 1 species
UACGAAGGGGGCUAGCGUUGCUCGGAAUCACUGGGCGUAAAGGGUGCGUAGGCGGGUCUUUAAGUCAUGGGUGAAAUCCUGGAGCUCAACUCCAGAACUGCCUUUGAUACUGAGGGUCUUGAGUCCGGGAGAGGUGAGUGGAACUGCGAGUGUAGAGGUGAAAUUCGUAGAUAUUCGCAAGAACACCAGUGGCGAAGGCGGCUCACUGGCCCGGUACUGACGCUGAGGCACGAAAGCGUGGGGAGCAAACAGG